rnacentral:rRNA from 1 species
AACGAACGCUGGCGGCAUGCCUAACACAUGCAAGUCGAACGAGACCUUCGGGUCUAGUGGCGCACGGGUGCGUAACGCGUGGGAACCUGCCCGUAGGUUCGGAAUAACUCCCCGAAAGGGGUGCUAAUACCGGAUAAUGUCUUCGGACCAAAGAUUUAUCGCCUUUGGAUGGGCGCGCGUUGGAUUAGCUAGUUGGUAGGGUAAAAGCCUACCAAGGCGAGGAUCCAUAGCUGGUCUGAGAGGAUGAUCAGCCACACUGGGACUGAGACACGGCCCAGACUCUUAUGCGGGGGAGAGGAGUGGUGCAUAGGGGACGGGGGGCGAAAGCAUCAACGCACCGUGCCGGGUGAGAGGUAGGGGUUUGGGGUGUGCAGAGCUCUUUUACGGGGUGUGAAUGACAGUAAAGGGAGAAGAAGCGCCGGCUAACUCCGUG